UCCUGGCUUAGGAUGAACGCUGGCGGCGUGCUUAACACAUGCAAGUCGAACGGAGUUUAGAGAGCUUGCUCUUAAACUUAGUGGCGGACGGGUGAGUAACGCGUGGGUAACCUGCCUUUCACUGGGGGAUAACAGUUAGAAAUGACUGCUAAUACCGCAUAAGCGCACGGGAUCGCAUGAUCUAGUGUGAAAAACUCCGGUGGUGAAAGAUGGACCCGCGUCUGAUUAGCUAGUUGGUGAGGUAACGGCCCACCAAGGCGACGAUCAGUAGCCGGCCUGAGAGGGUGAACGGCCACAUUGGGACUGAGACACGGCCCAAACUCCUACGGGAGGCAGCAGUGGGGAAUAUUGCACAAUGGGGGAAACCCUGAUGCCAGCGACGCCGCGUGAGUGAAGAAGUAUUUCGGUAUGUAAAGCUCUAUCAGCAGGGAAGAAAAUGACGGUACCUGACUAAGAAGCCCCGGCUAACUACGUGCCAGCCGCUGC
rnacentral:rRNA from 1 species